GGGAGAACGCUGGGGGCGUGCUUAACACAUGCGCCCCAAACGGUGACCCCCGCUUGGGGGGGGAUUAGUGGAAAACGGGUGAAUAACACGUGAGACACCUGCCCUUAUCUCUGGGAAAACCCUGGAAAUCGGGGUCAAACCCCGGAUAUGACUCCUCAUCAUGUGGUGGGGGGUGGAAAUCUUUUUGGGGUUUGGGAUGGACUCCCGCUCUAUCAGUGUGUUGGAGAGGCAAUGGCUCCCCAAGGCGACCACGGGUAGCCGGCCUGAGAGGGAGACCGGCCACACUGACACUGAAACACCCCCCACACUCCUACGGGAGGCAGCAGUGGAAUAAUUUUGCACAAUGGGCGCACGCCUGAUGCAGCGACCCCGCGUGAGGGAUGACGGUCUUCGUGUUGUAAACCUCUUUCAGGGGAGAAGAAGCAAAAGCGACGCCUCCUGCAGAAGAACCGGCUGAUUACUACGUGCCAGCCGCCGCGAUAAUACGUAGGCCGCAGGCAUUAUCCAUAAUUAGUGGGCGUAAACACCUCGUAGGCUUUUUGUCUCGGCUGCCAAAAAAAGUCCGGUCCUCUACUCAUGAUCUGCGGUGGGUACGGGAAUACUAGAGUGAUGGGGGGGAAAGACUGUUAUUCCUGGUGUAGCGAAAAAAAUGCGAUAUAUAUCAGGAAGAACACCGAUGAGCGAAGGCAUGUCGGUGGGUUAUUGACUG
rnacentral:rRNA from 1 species